rnacentral:rRNA from 1 species
CCUACGGGUGGCAGCAGUGAGGAAUAUUGGUCAAUGAGCGCGAGCCUGAACCAGCCAAGUAGCGUGAAGGAUGACUGCCCUACGGGUUGUAAGCUUCUUUUAUAAAGAAAUAAAGUGAGGCACGGGUGCCUUUUUGUAUGUACUUUAUGUAUAAGGAUCGGCUAACUCCGUGCCAGCAGCCGCGGUAAUACGGAGGAUCCGAGGGUUAUCCGGAUUUAUUGGGUUUAAAGGGAGCGUAGAUGGGUUGGUAAGUCAGUUGUGAAAGUUUGCGGCUCAACCGUAAAAUUGCAAUUGAUACUGGCAGUCUUGAGUACAGUUGAGGUAGGCGGAAUUCGUGGUGUAGCGGUGAAAUGCUUAGAUAUAACGAAGAACUCCGAAUGCGAAGGCAGCUUACUAAACUGCCACUGACAUUGAGGCUCGAAAGUGUGGGGAGCAAACAGGAUUAGAUACCCUAGUAGUC